UUCCAGCAAACCUCGCCUGAUCCAAGGACGACAGUCAUUAACUUAUUUUUCUAAGUAAUCCUCUGCUGAAAGCUGUGAGCCGCCUGGGGUGGACGAGAGCAGGGUUUGCAAGAGCCGGCACACGGUAGGUCUGGAGCACCUGCUUGUUUGGUAAACAGGAGAUGGUGAUUGAGUAUGUGUCUCCUUGAGCUGGGCACUGGGAUAAGACGAUGUCACUGACAACAAGCGGAAUAAAGGCCAUGAGGCCCUGAGCAUCACCAUCAUCACGGUCAUUCUCACCAUCAUCAUUAGGAACAUCUACCGACUACUAACUCUGUACCAGACACUGUUCUAAGCCUCUCCAACAAUCCUGCAAC
rnacentral:lncRNA from 1 species